UACUUCCUACCUCUUAAGGCACUUUCCUCAUUGUUUUGCCAUAUAACCUUGGACUGCAUGAUAAGCUGAUGAAAUAUCCAUGACUUUUCCCAGAGCAACUAGCAAGGUAUAUGACAUUUUGGCUAGAGAUUAGUGGGAAGGAAAAUUUAGAGGUUUAAGUCCGGAUGUAUGAACCUCAAAAAAAAGUCUUCUAAACACAUAUCAUUUAAGUACAAUAUAUGGAAAUGUAUCUGAGCAGAGAGUCACUAUAACAGUUCUCUCUAAGUAGAUUAGUUCAAUGUCCAAUGAAAGUGAACAUCUUUAUUCCUAUAUUACUAUAGUACUGGAUGAACUGUAUACUGAGUUUUUCAAACAAGUAUUUAAAGUAGAACUUUUAAGUACGAGCAAGGGCAUGAGGAUAAAGACUUUGGGUUGUGUUUCUGUAAGUGUAGUUUACCAUAUAGAGCUUUGUUUCUUAAUUUUAAAAAAGGUUUCAAAGUAUUGCCAUUCAUUAGCAUCCUUAAUGAUUAUGAGCGAUGAGUGUGUAACUCGAAAUCAUAUACAUGUAUUAGUUUAUCUUAACUUUUUACCCUAAAUAAAAGGGAAGGUGUACACCUAAAAGAUGUAAUUAUUUUGCAUUUUUGGCCAUGGGUGGGAAUGGGGUGGGCAUCUACUUGAGCAGUUUUUAAAAAAGAAAAAAAAAAUCAGAAAUAUUUUUCUACUAUUAUAUAUGAUCUUCCUUUAUACUAGUUUAUCCCUAGUAAGGCAUGCCAGAAGCCCAAGCAAGGUACCAUAUCAAGGGUUCUUACGUGCUGUACCUUUCGUUGGUGGGUAAUCGAAUCAGAUGCUUGGCACUGUGGUCAUAGUUAUGAAGUGCUUGUGAGGAUCAGAUUUCACUGAAUACUAAUUUGUUUUACUUAAGAGUCUAAUCUGGGAAGUUUGCAAAUCAUACUAUUAAUGUGUAAUCUAAGCUCUUUCCAAUGUAUCCAUGAAUAAUCCUGGAACAAUAUUGCUUGUAUUCCUGUCACAGAACAGGUUUUGUAAUCUUUAAAAGAAAUGGAAAUUUAUAUAAUAAAGUUUCAAGUAA
rnacentral:lncRNA from 1 species